rnacentral:lncRNA from 1 species
UCACCAUGUGAAGAAGGUCCUUGCUUCCUCUUCAUCAUCUAUCAUGAUUGCAAGUUUAGGCCUCCUAAGCCACGUGGAACUUUUAUUUCACCCUGAAGCCAAAAAGAACUUUCUGAAAGGCAAAUUUGCUCAUGCUAUAAUAGUUACUGACAAAUAUUUAAAGGACUAAGUUGUGUAAGGAAUCUACACCGUCAGGCAGAACCAGGACUCCUGGAAGUAGAACUGGGCUGCUUCAUAAGUCUGACUUCAUAUGACAGCUAGAUUCAAAAGGAUGAAAUCAGUAGAGGUGAGACCUCUUGAUGCCUUGGCUUGGAAGUCACAUAUUCUAUUGGCCAAAGCAAAUCACAAGGCCACCACAAAUUCAAGGAGAUGAAGAAACAGACUCUACCUCUCUUGAUUGGCUUAUAAUAUGGUCAGUUCUUCAGAGGAAGAGGAAAAUUUCAUCUGGCCUCAAAUCUCAGUGAUGGCAUUUGUGGGAACAUAAUGUCUGAAGUAAAGACUAAGUAGAAGUCUGACAAGCAAAAAAAGAAAAACAGACAAAGACACUCCAGGAAAGAGAAAGAACCUGAGCAGAAGCACCGAGGUAUGACAGAAAACAUACAGAGGAAAGGCUUCCAAAAGUAACGGAGAUUCACUGGAAGCUCCACAGAAAAACGGGUGGUGCAAAAAAUUAGGCAAGAGGGAGAAUGGGGUUAGGCCAUGUACCAUCAUGUUCAUCAUUAUACAGUGAUUGGACUUGGAGAGGCAGAAGAGAAGCAAGAGCCAGCAUCCUCAUCUUAUAAACAGAAAAGCUAUCUGGGCGCGGUGGCUCAUGCCUGUAAUCCCAGCACUUUGGGAGGCCGAAGCGGGCGGAUCACGAGAUCAGGAGAUGGAGACCAUCCUGGCUAACACGGUGAAACCCUGUCUCUACUAAAAAUAUGAAAAAUAUUAGCCAGGCGUGGUGGCGAGUGCCCGUAGUCCCAGCUACUCGGGAGGCUGAGGCAGGAGAA